CAGAGCGCCCUCCUCUGCGGCAGCAAUCCACCGCAGCGGCUCCGCUCCGUCAUGGCCGUGUCCUACGACAUGCUCGCCGGGAACAAGUCCAAGCCCGCUGGACUUGGUGAAGAAGUACCCUUUGGAGGUCCACCAGUUCAUCAGUUUCCCCAUUUACUUUGUGAGCAAACAAGGCGUUUUGGGUGAAGGUGUCGCUGCUAAGCUUGAAUUCCAGGUUGCCUUGUUCUUGGACCCGUGGUGGUACGUAAUAGCCGAAGUAGUGGUGUAAGUGCUGCUGCCUUAAUUAGGUGACCUUUGUGAAGUGAACGUGGUUGAGGUUGUGGCGACCGGCUGGAUGGACAUGCUAUUUACAAUGUUGCUGUAUCGAGCGAUUGUGUUGGUCAGGUUCAGUUGUGGCUACUGGAGCAAUUGUUUUAUAUUUCCGUGCCAUGAAAGCAAGCGAAGUUGAGAAGCCACAAAGUUGGUCGUCCAUUUGGGCGUUGUUUCACCCAGGGCAACUAAAAUGUAGUAAUUAAUUCAGCAUUAGAGUGCUAGCAUGCCUAAAAAGAUGGAGAUGGUGGCCAACUUUUUUGUUAUUGUAUCGUGCUGAUGGUGGUGG